UACGUAGGGUGCUAGCGUUGUCCGGAAUUAUUGGGCGUAAAGAGCUUGUAGGCGGUCUGUCGCGUCUGCCGUGAAAAUCCGGGGCUCAACCCCGGACUUGCAGUGGGUACGGGCAGACUAGAGUGUGGUAGGGGAGACUGGAAUUCCUGGUGUAGCGGUGAAAUGCGCAGAUAUCAGGAGGAACACCGAUGGCGAAGGCAGGUCUCUGGGCCACUACUGACGCUGAGAAGCGAAAGCAUGGGGAGCGAACAGG
rnacentral:rRNA from 1 species